rnacentral:rRNA from 1 species
GGCUUAAAGGUUGAUCUUGGUUCAAGAUCAACCCUGGCGGCGCAUUUAACAUAUGCGGGUCCAACCGACUUAACCAUCAGUUUACUAUCUGGACCGCCUAGUGUGCCUGCGACUGGUGACUAACACGUAAGCCACCUGCCUAUCACAGGGGAACCACAGUUAGAAAUGUACUGCUAAUACCGCAUAUGCCUAAUUCACCACAUGGUACAUUAGGGAAAGGAGCAAUCCUGCUGAUAGAUGGGCUUGCGUCUGAUUAGCCUACUUGGUGGGGUAAAGGCCUACCAAGGCGACGAUCAGUAGCCGGACUGACAGGUUGAACGGCCACAUUGGGACUGAAAUACGGCCCAGACUCCUACCGGAGGCACCACUCGGGAAUAUUGCGCAAUGGAGGAAACUCUGACUCACUGACGCCGCGUGCAUGAAGAAGGUUUUCGGAUUGUAAACUGCUUUAGACAGGGAAGAAAAAGGACAGUACCUGUAGAAUAAGCUCCGGCUAACUACGUGCCAGCACCCGCGGUAAUACAUAAGGAGCGAGCGUUAUCCGGAUUUAUUGGGUGUAAAGGGUGCGUACACGGGAAAAUAAGUUAGUUGUGAAAUCCCUCGGCUUAACUGAGGAACUGCAACUAAAACUGUUAUUCUUGAGUACUGGAGAGGAAAGUGGAAUUCCUAGUGUAGCGGUGAAAUGCGUAGAUAUUAGGAGGAACACCAGUGGCGAAGGCGACUUUCUGGACAGAAACUGACGUUGAGGCACGAAAGUGUGGGGACGCAACAGGAUUAGAUACCCUGGUAGUCCACACCGCAAACGAUGGGCACUAGGAGUACGGUAUAAUAAAUACUCUGUGCCGUCACUAACGCUAUAUGUUCCCACCUGGGAAGUA